UACCAGCACCCCGAGUGGUCGGGACGUUUAUUGGGCCUAAAGCAUCCGUAGCCGGUUCUACAAGUCUUCCGUUAAAUCCAGCUGCUUAACAGAUGGGCUGCGGAAGAUACUAUGGAGCUAGGAGGCGGGAGAGGCAAGCGGUACUCGAUGGGUAGGGGUAAAAUCCGUUGAUCCAUUGAAGACCACCAGUGGCGAAGGCGGCUUGCCAGAACGCGCUCGACGGUGAGGGAUGAAAGCUAGGGGAGCAAACCGG
rnacentral:rRNA from 1 species